GACGAACCGAGCGAACGUUGUUCGGAAUCACUGGGCUUAAAGGGCGCGUAGGCGGGCUGCCAAGUCCGUGGUGAAAUCCCCCGGCUCAACCGGGGAAGGGCCUCGGAUACUGGCGGCCUCGAGGGGGGUAGGGGCGUGCGGAACUGUGGGUGGAGCGGUGAAAUGCGUUGAUAUCCACAGGAACUCCGGUGGCGAAGGCGGCACGCUGGACCCCAUCUCG
rnacentral:rRNA from 1 species